CAUGGUUGAUCCUACCAGAACCAUAUGCUUGUCUCAAAGAUUAAGCCAUACAUGUCUAAGUACGCAGGGCCAGUACACUGAAACUGUUAAUGGCUCAUUAAAUAUGUCAUGUUUCUUUUGGUUGCUUGCUCCUCUCCUACUUGGAAAACUGUAGUAAUUCUAGAGCUAAUACAUGCCAAAUGGUGCUGACUCAAUUCAUGGGGAAGAUGUGUGCAUUUGUCAGAUCAAAACCAACUCUGUCAGCCCCUCUCUGGCCCCGGCCGGGGGGGUCGGGUGCCGACGGCUUUGGUGACUCUAGAUAACCUCAGGCCAAUCGCACGCCCCCAGUGGCAGCAACGACCCAUUUGAAUGUCUGCCCUAUCAACUUUCAAUGGUAGUCGCUGUGCCUACCAUGGUGACCAUGGGUGACAGGGAAUCAGGGUUCGAUUCUGGAGAGGGAGCCUGAGAAACGGCUACCACAUUCAAGGAAGGCAGCAGGCGCGCAAAUUACCCACUCCCUACCCAGGGAGGUAGUGAUGAAAAGUAACAAUACAAGACUCUUUCGAGGCCCUGUAAUUGGAAUGAGUCCACUUUAAAUCUUUUAACAAGGAUCCAUUGGAGGGCAAGUCUGGUGCCAGCAGCCACGGUAAUUCCAGCUCCAAUAGCGUAUAUUAAAGUUGCUGCAGUUAAAAAGCUCCUAGUUGGAUCUUGGGAGAGGGCGGGUGGGUGAGUCACAGCCCGUCCCCACCCCUUGCCUCUCGGCACCCCCUCGAUGCUCUUAGCUGAGUGUCCUGUGGCCCGAAGCGUUUACUUUCAAAAAGUUAGAGUUUUCAAAGCAGGCCCAAGCAGCCUGGAUACCGCAGCUAGGAAUGAUAGAAUAGGACCGCGGUUCUAUUUUGUUGGUUUUCGGAACUGAGGCCAUGAUUAAGAGGGAUGGCCGGGGGCAUUCGUAUUGCGCCGCUAGAGGUGAAAUUCUUGGACUGGCGCAGUUCGGACCAGAGCGAAAGCAUUUGCCAAGAAUGAUUUCGUUAACCAAGAAUGAAAGUUGGACGUUCCAAGACAAUCAGAUAGCGUCGUAGUUCCGACGAUAAACAAUGCCGACUGGUGAUGCAGCGGCGUUAUUUCCAUGACCCGCUGGGCAGCUUCCAAGGAACCAGUCUUUGGGUUUUUGGGUUUCUGGGGGAGUAGGGUUGCAAAGCUGAAACUUAAAGGAAUUGGUGGAAAGGCACCACCAGGAGUGGAGCCUGCAGCUUAAUUUGACUCAACACGGGAAAUAUCACCCAGCCUGGACACGGACAGGUUUGACUGAUAGCUCUUUCUCAAUUCCAUGAGUGCUGGUGCAUGGCCCUUAGUUGGUGAAGUGAUUUGUCUGGUUAAUUCUGAUAAUGAACAAGACUGUGGAAUGCUAACUAGUUAUGCAACCCCCGAGCGGUGGGCGUCCCCCAAAUUCUCAGAGGGACAAGUGGCAUUCAGCCACCCAAGAUUGAGCAAUAACAGGUCUGUGAUGCCCUUAGAUGUCCAGUGCUGCAUGCACGCUACACUGACUGGCUCAGCGUGUGCCUACCCUAUGUGGCAGAUGCGGGUAACCUGUUGAACCCCAUUGGUGAUGGUGAUCGGGGAUUGCAAUUAUUCCCCAUGAAUGAUGAAUUCCCAGUAAGUGCGGGUCACAGGCUUGCAUGAAGUCCCUGCCCUUUGUACACACCGCCGGUAGCUACUACUGAUUGGAUGGUUUAGUGAGGCCCUUGGAUCGGCCCCGCCAGGUCAGCCCACUGCCCUGGCGGAGCACUGAGAAGACAGUUUGACUUGACUACCUAGAGGAAUUAAAAGUCGCAACAAAGUUUCCGUAGGUGAACUUGCGGAGG
rnacentral:rRNA from 1 species